rnacentral:misc_RNA from 1 species
AGAACUUCAAUUGCUAGGUAUGUAGUUAAUUUUAAUUUUAGACUUGUUGGGCAUUCCUUUGCUUCGUCUUUUAUCUUGAAAAUGAAGUGUUUACGUGCUUUGGUUUUAUCUUGAUUUCUACCUUUUGAUUGUCAUUUUGCUUCUAUUCCCUCACCCCUCGCAUUGCCUCGUGGUUUAACUCUUAUGUCCUAUAUUACUAUGCAACAUUGCACUUUUUUUUUUUCUAACGUUGGUUUGGUUGUUUCCCCCAAAUUUUUAGGAUAAAGGCU